AAGAAGAAGACUUGUAGCAGGUGAACAUGGAUGUGCACAAUGCUGGAUGUAGACCUGCUGUUAACACAAGAAGAGGACUGGAGCAGACCUAUAUGUGCUGGCCUGACCGGGCAGUCAAGUGCGCAACCUGCGGGGAAUGAGUGGCGCAACAACAAAAAGAUGACCAAGCUGACCUGGGUUUCAGGUUUAAGUGGAAAUCCUCACCCCUCACCCCCCAAAGGCAACUGCCCCAUCCCACCUCUGACAGCCUCCGGGAGACGCUUCAGAACCCUGUGAACCAAAACCACCGGACGAAGGAGCUGUUACUUUCCUUAUCCCAUCACCCGCAUAGCUGACCAGUAUCAUCUGCUAUGACAUAGUCUCCUCAGGUGGUUAUUACAACCUGCUUCACAUCCACAAAUAAUGUACUGUACCAUUACUUGUACAUCACAAUUUGAUUCCCAUACGUGAUGCACAUUAUAAUACAUAAUCUGUAUAUUGCAUACAUAUUGUGUGUUGUCUGUAAAUAAUAUGUACGUUGUCUGUAUUGCUUGAGAGUGACUAACUACCAGAACCAAAGUCCUUGUGUGUGUUAACACAUUUGUCCAAUAAAUCUGAGUCUCAGAUUAAUGCGAGGCAGAGCAGAAAGGCAGAGAGGGAGAUAUGAGAAGGAGACUGAAUCAGCUGGAAAGGACAGCAGAGUGGAACAUUUGACUAACAAGCAGUUUUUGGAUGCACUUUGCUGUUGUCUCAGAAAAAACAAAAAACAAAAAAAAACAGAGUACCUUCUGGUCCCAUACAUCUAUCGGUCCUGUGCAGCUGAUGGAGAUGUCAAGAAAAAGAGGGGACAGACCUCGAGGACAAGUCAAAGAGAAGGUAAUAGUCUGAACAGAGGAGAGUGAUAGAGGGACAGAGAGAUGUCAGCGCAGCUCCAUACACACAGUAAACUAUAGAUUGAGGGCAUAUGCUAAAGCCUGCCAGUAAUGAACGCACACGGACACACACACACACACACACACACACACACACGUACAUACAUAGCUAACUGCAGCAUUCACUGGAGAAGAACACGGCUCAGCACAUCAUUGUCUCCUAAUAGGAGCAGGUUGCAUUGCCUCCCCAGCGCUGCGCGAGGAUUUAAUGUACAUGGUGUGUGUGUAUGUGAGAGAGAGAGGGAGAGAGAGAGAGAGAGAGAAAAUAAAUAAAUAAUGCACCGGCAGUAGGAGGGAAGUAAACAUUCAUUAUUGUAAUGGAACAUGUUUAGUUGUUGCAUGGAAUUUGCGUGUUUCUAUUUAUGGCCAAGAAAUCUCAGCCCUAAUUAAUGUGUGAAACAAUAUUCUUAGGGUUCUUUGUAUCAUAAGUAUGCAAAUGGGGCUGUCUUUCGAUACUGCUUGUUUUUACAGUGCAUAUCCUAAAUUGGCUUUCGCAGCAUACAUAGAAAACAACAACUCACGGCGCCUGUGAUAUGCAUUUGAUAACAUAAUUUUGUUUCAUGGAUGCUUAUCCUCCAUUGACUCAAC